rnacentral:sRNA from 1 species
CCGAACCUCAUUACCUUGGCCUGUUACCCCAAGUUGGGGGUCUUUAAGGUUAUUUGAUKUUKGGCCUAUGCUACCKGCCKGGCUCUGGUCCUGCUUAUUCUGGCCCGCCCGUUCCAAGCCGGGAGUUGGCCCAUGUGGUUUAUGCGAAGGUAUAGGCUUCGUGGCUCC